AUGCCUCAAGCUUUAUCUAUAAUACCUGCGUCAGGUAUCCAUUUACUAAAAGGCUUCACUUAUAUGUACCACCAACAUUAAACCCCGUUUUGAAUCCUUUUAAACAUAACUACCAUACAAACAUCAUGCAAAAACUACAACAAUGCAUGAUUUAAAGAGAGGACAUCCUAACAAAAGAAUCAAAUUCAAAUCUACAUAACU
rnacentral:lncRNA from 1 species